rnacentral:rRNA from 1 species
ACUCCUACGGGAGGCAGCAGUGGGGAAUAUUGCACAAUGGGCGCAAGCCUGAUGCAGCCAUGCCGCGUGUAUGAAGAAGGCCUUCGGGUUGUAAAGUACUUUCAGCAGUGAGGAAGGUGGGUAUGUUAAUAGCAUACUCAUUUGACGUUAGCUGCAGAAGAAGCACCGGCUAACUCCGUGCCAGCAGCCGCGGUAAUACGGAGGGUGCGAGCGUUAAUCGGAAUUACUGGGCGUAAAGCGCAUGCAGGUGGUUUGUUAAGUCAGAUGUGAAAGCCCGGGGCUCAACCUCGGAAUUGCAUUUGAAACUGGCAAACUAGAGUACUGUAGAGGGGGGUAGAAUUUCAGGUGUAGCGGUGAAAUGCGUAGAGAUCUGAAGGAAUACCGGUGGCGAAGGCGGCCCCCUGGACAGAUACUGACACUCAGAUGCGAAAGCGUGGGGAGCAAACAGGAUUAGAUACCCUGGUAAGCUCUGC